rnacentral:rRNA from 1 species
UACGUAGGUGGCGAGCGUUGUCCGGAUUUACUGGGCGUAAAGAGCGCGCAGGCGGUCGUUCAAGUCGAGUGUGAAAGCCCCCGGCUUAACUGGGGAGGGUCACUCGAUACUGAUCGACUCGAAGGCAGGAGAGGGAAGUGGAAUUCCCGGUGUAGUGGUGAAAUGCGUAGAUAUCGGGAGGGACACCAGUGGCGAAGGCGACUUCCUGGCCUGUUCUUGACGCUGAGGCGCGAAAGCUAGGGGAGCAAACGGG